CCCUUAGAUGUUCUGGGCCGCACGCGCGCUACACUGUUCGACGCAGCGAGUCUUAACCUUGACCGAAAGGUUUGGGUAAUCUUCAGCAAAGUCGAACGUGAUGGGGAUCGAUCAUUGCAAUUAUUGAUCGUGAACGAGGAAUUCCUAGUAAGUGCAAGUCAUCAGCUUGCGCUGAUUACGUCCCUGCCCUUUGUACACACCGCCCGUCGCUACUACCGAUUGAAUGGUUUAGUGAGAUCUCUGGAUUGACGCUGGCUAGGGGGCGACCCUUGGCCAGACUGCUCGAGAAACUGCUCAAACUUGAUCAUUUAGAGGAAGCAAAAGUCGUAACA
rnacentral:rRNA from 1 species